rnacentral:rRNA from 1 species
UACGAAGGGGGCUAGCGUUGUUCGGAAUUACUGGGCGUAAAGCGCACGUAGGCGGAUCGAUCAGUCAGGGGUGAAAUCCCAGAGCUCAACUCUGGAACUGCCUUUGAUACUGUCGGUCUAGAGUAUGGAAGAGGUGAGUGGAAUUCCGAGUGUAGAGGUGAAAUUCGUAGAUAUUCGGAGGAACACCAGUGGCGAAGGCGGCUCACUGGUCCAUUACUGACGCUGAGGUGCGAAAAGCGUGGGGAAGCAAACAGG